rfam:Triticum aestivum genome assembly, contig: Triticum_aestivum_CS42_TGACv1_scaffold_603990_7DL
UUUCUACUCCCUCCGUUCCAAAUUACUUGUCUUAGAUUUCUCUAGAUACGGAUGUAUCUAGCACUAAAAUGAGUCUAGAUACACUCGUAUGUAGACAAAUCUGAGACAAGUAAUUCAGAACGGAGGGAGUAGUUU